rnacentral:rRNA from 1 species
UAGGGAAUCUUCGGCAAUGGACGAAAGUCUGACCGAGCAACGCCGCGUGAGUGAAGAAGGUUUUCGGAUCGUAAAACUCUGUUGUUAGAGAAGAACAAGGACGUUAGUAACUGAACGUCCCCUGACGGUAUCUAACCAGAAAGCCACGGCUAACUACGUGCCAGCAGCCGCGGUAAUACGUAGGUGGCAAGCGUUGUCCGGAUUUAUUGGGCGUAAAGCGAGCGCAGGCGGUUUCUUAAGUCUGAUGUGAAAGCCCCCGGCUCAACCGGGGAGGGUCAUUGGAAACUGGGAGACUUGGGUGCAGAAGAGGAGAGUGGAAUUCCAUGUGUAGCGGUGAAAUGCGUAGAUAUAUGGAGGAACACCAGUGGCGAAGGCGGCGCUCUGGUCUGUAACUGACGCUGAGGCUCGAAAGCGUGGGGAGCAAACAGG